UCCCCGGUUCCGGAUCCCGGCCCAGCCGGGACAGCAGCCCCUCCUGCGUGUCCCCCGAGACCCUGCCUCCCACCCCGGCCUGCCUCUCUGCUUUUACCGGAGGCUCCGGUGCCGUUCGGACAGCCCCAGGCGUUACCCAAGAGGUCGCAGGGGCCACUCCAGCAGCUGUCACCGACCCGGCCCGACAGCCAGCGAGGGACUCGCCUGGCGACGAGCAUUUGGGGAAUUUCUCUUGUGUCUCCUGGACGAGUUAUUUAUAGGAAUCUCCAAAUCCAUCCCCUCCAGCUGCCCGUGGGCUGCACGCUGACCCCCUCCCGAACACGAAUUCCUCAGCAUGCGGGGGGCAGGACACGCACCCGUGCCUGCUCUGUCCCCUCCUAGCUCCCAGAGCUCAGCAGACUGCUGAAAAUACUCUUUAGCCUCUGAAAAGGUUGAGCGUGACACAGGAAUCCCACAGGUGAGCUCCCACCUCAGCCCAAACCUGACGCUGCUCCUGGCAGGGGUAGGAGCUGUGGAUUUGGGGUUUGGACACCAGAAUGAGUUUGUUAUUUUCUUGAAGUCUGACAGACUGCAAGUAUGACUCAAUUUAGUUCUCCUCCAGCCUCGAUGCAGUACUGGGAACACGGACAGUGGGACAGGAUCUGUCCCUGCUGCCUUAGGGAGGCAGAGCACAGCAGAACAGCCCCAGGAUCAGCUGCUGUCAGGCCAAACCCAGACCAGUCCCACCAGUUCCAUAACUUACAAGGAAACAGAUAAGCUACAGAGAGCUGCGAGUCCUGGAGUAUUUACACCGAGGAGGGCAGGAACAGGA